GCCGACCUAGCUCAGUGGUAGAGCGCGUGGCUUUUAACCACGUGGCCGUGGGUUCGAUCCCUACGGUCGGUG
rnacentral:tRNA from 1 species